rnacentral:rRNA from 1 species
UACGGGGGGGGCAAGCGUUGUUCGGAAUUACUGGGCGUAAAGGGUUCGUAGGUGGCCAACUUGGUCAGACGUGAAAUCCCUCAGCUUAACUGGGGAACUGCGUCUGAUACUGGAUGGCUCGAGUGCAGGAGAGGAACGCGGAAUUCCAGGUGUAGCGGUGAAAUGCGUAGAUAUCUGGAGGAACACCGGUGGCGAAGGCGGCAUUCUGGACUGUAACUGACACUGAGGAACGAAAGCCAGGGGAGCAAACGGG